UCUGGUCAGUCUAGGUCCCCUACCCAUCUCUAUGUGCGGUGUGAGGUGCUCUGCCCUACCCACACUGAGGGAGUGACCUUAGUUAAACAGAGACUAGGGAAAGAAUGCCAGGAAGCGGGACAACACCUACCUACUACCUGGACUGCAAAAAGAGGGUGCUCAUGCUAUCUUAAGUGAAAGGAAUCUCCAGGACAGAGGCAUGAAAAUGUGUCCGGAAUUGGUGGGUUCUUGGUCUCACUGACUUCAAGAAUGAAGCCGUGGACACUCGCAGUGAGUGUUACAGCUCUUAAGGUGGCGCGUCUGGAGUUUGUUCCUUCUGAUGUUCGGAUAUGUUCGGAGUUUCUUCCUUGUCGUGGGUUCGUGGUCUCGCUGGCUCAGGAGUGAAGCUGCAUACCUUCGCGGGAAUGUGACCUCAGGCAGCACUGGCGAGGGGUGAACAGAAAGCUCACAAUAAAAUCAUCUCAUCAGAGGUCACAGAGCCAAGACGCUCCUAUUGAACUUUCCUGCCAAGCAGAAGCAAGAUUCCAUGUCCUCUCAUGGCCUAGACCCCUCUAAGCCACCUGCCACAGCUCCGGAAAUGAACACAGAGAAAGAAGCCUAGAGCUGGUGGUGCGUCCUGGACCCUGAGACAUGGGGCAUAAGCAGCAGAGGCCACUGGCCCCAGGAACCCGGUACCCUGCUGUUUGUGCACUGAGCCCCACCCAGUGUCAGGGCACCUCCAAAAUGCCAGGCACUGAGUGUCAUUCCUCAGCUGCUCGGCACAUCCUUCCU
rnacentral:lncRNA from 1 species